CCUACGGGGCGCAGCAGUGGGGAAUAUUGCACAAUGGGGGGAACCCUGAUGCAGCGACGCCGCGUGGGCGAGGAAGUAUUUCGGUAUGUAAAGCCCUAUCGGCAGGGAAGAAGAAAUGACGGUACCUGAAUAAGAAGCACCGGCUAAAUACGUGCCAGCAGCCGCGGUAAUACGUAUGGUGCAAGCGUUAUCCGGAUUUACUGGGUGUAAAGGGAGCGUAGACGGCAGUGCAAGUCUGGAGUGAAAGGCGGGGGCUCAACCCCCGGACUGCUCUGGAAACUGUACGGCUGGAGUGCAGGAGAGGG
rnacentral:rRNA from 1 species